ACCAGACGAUGCGGUUACCGCGGCUGCUGGCACGGAGUUAGCCGGUGCUUCUUCUGUGAGUGAUGUCCUUCCUGCCGGCUAUUAACCCGCAGGCCUUCUUCCUCACUGAAAGUGCUUUACAACCCGAAGGCCUUCUUCACACACGCGGCAUGGCUGGAUCAGGGUUGCCCCCAUUGUCCAAUAUUCCCCACUGCUGCCUCCCGUAGGAGUCUGGGCCGUGUCUCAGUCCCAGUGUGGCUGAUCAUCCUCUCAGACCAGCUACGGAUCGUCGCCUUGGUGAGCCGUUACCUCACCAACCAGCUAAUCCGACAUAGGCUCAUCCGAUAGCGCGAGGCCCGAAGGUCCCCCGCUUUCCCCCGUAGGGCGUAUGCGGUAUUAGCCUGGGUUUCCCCAGGUUAUCCCCACUACCGGGCAGAUUCCUAUGCAUUACUCACCCGUCCGCCGCUCGCCACCAGGGAGCAAGCUCCCCGUGCUGCCGCUCGACUUGCAUGUGUUAGGCCUGCCGCCAGCGUUCAAUCU
rnacentral:rRNA from 1 species